rnacentral:rRNA from 1 species
GAUGAACGCUGGCGGCGUGCUUAGCACAUGCAAGUCGAGCGAAGCACUUAAGUUUGAUUCUUCGGAUGAAGACUUUUGUGACUGAGCGGCGGACGGGUGAGUAACGCGUGGGUAACCUGCCUCAUACAGGGGGAUAACAGUUAGAAAUGGCUGCUAAUACCGCAUAAGACCACAGUACUGCAUGGUACAGUGGUAAAAACUCCGGUGGUAUGAGAUGGACCCGCGUCUGAUUAGGUAGUUGGUGAGGUAACGGCCCACCAAGCCGACGAUCAGUAGCCGACCUGAGAGGGUGACCGGCCACAUUGGGACUGAGACACGGCCCAGACUCCUACGGGAGGCAGCAGUGGGGAAUAUUGCACAAUGGGCGAAAGCCUGAUGCAGCGACGCCGCGUGAAGGAUGAAGUAUUUCGGUAUGUAAACUUCUAUCAGCAGGGAAGAAAAUGACGGUACCUGACUAAGAAGCCCCGGCUAACUACGUGCCAGCCGCCGCGGUAA